UACGUAGGGUGCAAGCGUUGUCCGGAAUUAUUGGGCGUAAAGAGCUCGUAGGCGGUCUGUCGCGUCGGCUGUGAAAAUCCCCGAGGCUCAACCUCGGGUCUGCAGUCGAUACGGGGCAAACUAGAGUAUUGCAGGGGGAGACUGGAAUUCCUGGUGUAGCGGUGAAAUGCGCAGAUAUCAGGAGGAACACCGGUGGCGAAGGC
rnacentral:rRNA from 1 species